CCUACGGGAGGCAGCAGUGAGGAAUAUUGGUCAAUGGACGAGAGUCUGAACCAGCCAAGUCGCGUGAAGGAUGACUGCUCUAUGGGUUGUAAACUUCUUUUAUAAAGGAAUAAAAUGCGGCACGUGUGCCUCUUCGCAUGUACCUUAUGAAUAAGGAUCGGCUAACUCCGUGCCAGCAGCCGCGGUAAUACGGAGGAUCCGAGCGUUAUCCGGAUUUAUUGGGUUUAAAGGGUGCGUAGGCGGGCUUUUAAGUCAGCUGUGAAAGUCUGCGGCUCAACCGUAAAAUUGCAAUUGAUACUGGGAGUCUGGAGUAUAGUUGAGGUAGGCGGAAUGCGUGGUGUAGCGGUGAAAUGCUUAGAUAUCACGAAGAACCCCGAUUGCGAAGGCAGCCUACUAAGCUAUGACUGACAUUGAUGCUCGAAAGUGUGGGGAUCGAACAGGAUUAGAUACCCGUGUAGUC
rnacentral:rRNA from 1 species